rnacentral:rRNA from 2 species
UGUGUUAGUGGAAGCGUCUGGAAAGGCGCGCGAUACAGGGUGACAGCCCCGUACACAAAAGCGCAUGUGCUGUGAGCUCGAUGAGUAGGGCGGGACACGUGGUAUCCUGUCUGAAUAUGGGGGGACCAUCCUCCAAGGCUAAAUACUCCUGACUGACCGAUAGUGAACCAGUACCGUGAGGGAAAGGCGAAAAGAACCCCGGCGAGGGGAGUGAAAAAGAACCUGAAACCGUGUACGUACAAGCAGUGGGAGCACAGGUUUACCUGUGUGACUGCGUACCUUUUGUAUAAUGGGUCAGCGACUUAUAUUCUGUAGCAAGGUUAACCGAAUAGGGGAGCCGGAGGGAAACCGAGUCUUAAUUGGGCGUUAAGUUGCAGGGUAUAGACCCGAAACCCGGUGAUCUAGCCAUGGGCAGGUUGAAGGUUGGGUAACACUAACUGGAGGACCGAACCGACUAAUGUUGAAAAAUUAGCGGAUGACCUGUGGCUGGGGGUGAAAGGCCAAUCAAACCGGGAGAUAGCUGGUUCUCCCCGAAAGCUAUUUAGGUAGCGCCUCGUGAAUUCAUCUCCGGGGGUAGAGCACUGUUUCGGCUAGGGGGCCAUCCCGGCUUACCAACCCGAUGCAAACUGCGAAUACCGGAGAAUGUUAUCACGGGAGACACACGGCGGGUGCUAACGUCCGUCGUGAAGAGGGAAACAACCCAGACCGCCAGCUAAGGUCCCAAAGUCAUGGUUAAGUGGGAAACGAUGUGGGAAGGCCCAGACAGCCAGGAUGUUGGCUUAGAAGCAGCCAUCAUUUAAAGAAAGCGUAAUAGCUCACUGGUCGAGUCGGCCUGCGCGGAAGAUGUAACGGGGCUAAACCAU